CAACUGGCAACUACCGCAUGCAUUUGUUUUGGAGAGCGAGAGGAUUAACACUUCGGUUACACACUUCAACCAACUGCAUUUUCUUUUUCAAAAACAGCACUUUACAGGAUGCAGAGCGACGAGAGCUUCUCAUUACAGGACCUCAGUGUUGAGUUAGAGGAAAGUUCUACCUCUAGUUCACCUGAACCUGGGCCUUCUGUUAGCAGAGGACGUGGAAGAGGGAGGGGGAGGGGUAGUGUUAGGGGUCGUGGUGGCAGACCAAGGGACCGGGGCCGGGGCAGAGCAAGGACAUCAGACAUUAGUUAAGAAGACCUGGAAAGAAUAACCCAACUCCAGGAGGCCAGAACAUCUGAAAUAAGGGAUAAAUUAUCAGCCCUCACAUCAGAGCAAAAGGAUCAGCUCUUGGAGAAGGUGACACUAAGGCUUCCAGGACUAAUGUUUGAUGUCCUGGACUUGUUGGAGCCUGACCCAGAGCCUGCAACCCCACCUGCACAACCAC